UGCUAAGGAGAAAGUUAUUUCAAAUGAUCCCAGAAAUCUCCCUUUUCCGAAUUGCGAGACAUUUUUGGGGCACUCUAUAUAUUGCGAGUCAUGUACCUUCAAAGGGAUACGACGACGAAUUUUUCUGGGAUUAGGAUACAUAUGGACAUUUCCACUACUGAUUUUCAAGAAGAUUUGGGCAUAUAAAAGGUCCAAAUGCGACUAAAACUGGGCCCAGUUUCAAGUUAAUUACUGACGAAGAGGAAUGCUAGCGAGAAUGAGUCUGAUAUUCUUCCGAGCAUUUCAACCGAAUGCAUACGUAUAUCGUUGCAAGGUUAUAAGCCCCCGCCAGCGUGACUUAUCAGUGCGAUAAACUGGAACCGCGAUCUAGAAUCCAUGAAACACAUACAUUCACACAAUUGCAUUGAACUAACAAGCUUGUAAUAUAUUAUCUGUUACCAGUCAAUUUGAAUGUAAAAUUCAUUUAUUUCAUUUUCUGAUUCGAAGCAGUAGUUGGUACAAACCCACAGAGAUAUAUCUUUACCGCUCGAGGUAUAUCUUUAAUUUUUCUUGUAAAAAGUUACGAGGCAACUAAACCUCCAAUCCCUAUAGCGACGGUCCGUGUUGACAUUACAUUACAUCGGCUAAUUCACGUUUCCGCCUUACCAAAACUCCAAAAUCGCGUAACACCUCCAUUCGACGUAUAUUCGACGAGCUUACACGUUUGACGGAGAGAGAGUGUACUGUAUUUUGUCCAUUGCAUUGACACUUCACCGAAUUCCUGGUUGGAAAUUACAGAAAGUAAUAUUAAAAUUGCAUGGAAUAAAAUUACUAAUCCUGCUAGUCCUCCCAUUCAGUCAGACAUGUCAGUGCUUGAACCAGAUUUGAGCUACACAUGGUAAGUGUUAUCACAGGAGAGCAAUACACCCCAACAAUUGUGUUUCACACAAUUUUUAUUAAACUGCGAGGGAGAAGAAAGAAGGGACGAAAAUGAAGAGACAGGAGCAGAAACGGAAAAACUUCAGGAAGAACCGUAUGAGAACAAUAAAUUACGUAUGGCCUAUAAAUUACGUAUGGUUACAUUGCCACAUAGUGCAAGAGAAUCACCUCACAUGCAAUACAUGGUGAAGGCAUUGAAAUUGUAUUUCUUGGGCAAGGAAAAUUAAAUAAGAAAUAGAGAAAAAACAUCACAGCAGGCAACGAUACUACACGAUUCCAACGAUGAUACGCCAUAAAACAUUCAAUAUAGAAUAUAAAUUUUCACAAUAAAUAUUGAAUAAAUAAAUAUAAUUGAAGUUA